AUACGGUGUCGUUGUAAACAAUUUCAUUACAUUCCUUUCCUCUUUUCGGGUUUCUUCACUUGCUGUGCUCCAUCAAACCCACAAGGCAGCUCGUCUUCUACAGAGUUAGGGUUUCGUCACUCUGUUAGUCUGUUGUGCUCCAUCAACAACCCACAAGGCAGCCAUUCUCCAGCAAUCAAUCUGUAAUGGCAUUUCUGCGCAAACUAAGCCUUCGACGCUUCAGUCUUCUCCCAGCUCGUCCAUUUUCAACCACCCCACCACAUCCUCCCUUUCCAGACUCCUUUUUUCACGGGGUCUAACCGAGUCCCAACAAGCCUUCCGGGAAGGGUUUGAACAAGGUUUUCAGCAUGGGUAUGGACAAGGCUUGAGCAAGGGUUCCGGAUCUGGGUUUUCCGGGUUAAAAUUUUCGGAUCUCGUUUUUGGAUUCACCAUCAUUGGGGUCCCCGUCUGUCUAUUGGGAUUAAGGCGAGCACAAUGGGAUGAGACAAUGCGGUCUUUGGAACUCUGGCACCAGGAAAUGAUUGAUGAUAUGAAAAGACUGGAAGGGAUUUUACUGAUGGGAGGUGGUAAGAAGGAUGCUGGCACAGCAACUCCCUCCCCUUCAAAGCAAGCUGGCGGCGAAUAUUCCUGAAAAAUUUGUCUUGAAAUCUUGUUUUGGUUUAAUAACUUGUUCUAGUAGAACUAACAUCUUCACUUUUAAAGUGCUGUAAAGUCUAAUUCAAAGGCCGAGCAUAGCGGCAAAUAGAGUUCGUUCUAGUUGACAUACAUUUGGGGUUUUUGAAAUUGUAUUAGUUAAAUGGAUUAAAUACUCUGCUUUCACGAGCAUAUGAAUGAUUAUAUUGUUACAUUCUCAAGCUC